UAAGGAAUAUUGGUCAAUGGAGGCAACUCUGAACCAGCCAUGCCGCGUGCAGGAAGACUGCCCUAUGGGUUGUAAACUGCUUUUAUCCGGGGAUAAACCUCUGCUCGUGAGCAGAGCUGAAUGUACCGGAAGAAUAAGGAUCGGCUAACUCCGUGCCAGCAGCCGCGGUAAUACGGAGGAUCCAAGCGUUAUCCGGAUUUAUUGGGUUUAAAGGGUGCGUAGGCGGCCUGUUAAGUCAGGGGUGAAAGACGGUAGCUCAACUAUCGCAGUGCCCUUGAUACUGAUGGGCUUGAAUGGACUAGAGGUAGGCGGAAUGAGACAAGUAGCGGUGAAAUGCAUAGAUAUGUCUCAGAACACCGAUUGCGAAGGCAGCUUACUAUGGUCUUAUUGACGCUGAGGCACGAAAGCGUGGGGAUCAAACA
rnacentral:rRNA from 1 species